rnacentral:rRNA from 1 species
UACAGAGGUCCCGAGCGUUGUUCGGAUUCAUUGGGCGUAAAGGGUGCGUAGGUGGCGCCGUAAGUGGGGUGUGAAAUCCCGGGGCUUAACCCCGGGACUGCAUUCCAUACUGCGGUGCUUGAGGACUGGAGAGGAGUCUGGAAUUCCUGGUGUAGCGGUGAAAUGCGCAGAUAUCAGGAGGAACACCGGUGGCGAAGGCGGGACUCUGGGCCGAUACUGACGCUGAGGAGCGAAAGCGUGGGGAGCAAACAGG